GGACCUUUGGGAUAGCAUUGAAAAUGUAAACGAGGAAAAUACCUAAUUAAAAAAAAAACCCUCUUUUUUUACACACUUCACUUCCUCACAGUUCUCCUAUACUAUAAAGAUGCAUUGAACUCUGGGAAAAUGCCAACAUUUACAUAUUUUAAAUGAUUUUUUAGUGUUUAAAAAUGACAAUUUCAAAUGGUCCAACCUCAGCAGCUACUGUUUUUUGUUCUGGAUCCUCUCAGACAUACAAGAUGGGUACUGGAUGCUGUGAUUCUUGUCUUACAGAUGUCUACUCUCCUAAUUCCCACAGUUUUCCUAAGUGGCAGAGCCUAGUGUGCCCGUGUAAACCUCUGAAUGAAUUGGUCCACAUCAUUGCCACCCUGUCUCUCCUCUAGUGAUGGUGACUCUUCCACUCUUCUGAGAAGGUCCCAGGCACACAAUUUCUUUUUGCUUUUUGAGGGCCCAUUUUUCCCCCCAACAUACAGGUUAGGUUUCUAGAAUCUUCAGUUACAGCACCAUCUUCUCUAUUAUUUCAAUUGGGCAAAUAAACACCCCUCCUCCGCGCAGGUGAGAGGGCGGACUACAGAAGCGACACAGCUUUUGGGACAGGCAGAAGCGACACAGCUUCUGGGGCAGACCCUGUUUCGGGCUCCAGACAUCCGGCACCUUCCCUGCCAGAGGAGAGGUGUCCGCCCGGGAGGGCUCUGCCGGAGCACCUGUGGGAGCCAUCUUGGGUCCCAGAUCCCUCACAGACUAGUCUGCCCAGCACAAAAGCCAAUCAAGAGUCAGACAUAGUGCCAAUCAAGGUGAUACACAAUUGCAGUCUCAGCAUUUGAAGCACUAAAGAGGAAGGACUUGGAGUAUGUGGAUAGCCUAGCUACAUAGGAUUAACAUAGCAAAAAUGGCCAUUUUAUGAAAAGUAAUCUAAAGAUUCAAUGUAAUCCCCACCAAAAUUUCAACUCAAUUCUUCACAAAGAUAGAAACAUCAAUUCUCAAAUACAUCUGGAAUAACAAAUAUCCCAGGAUAACAAAAACUGCUCUCAACAAUAAAAGAGCCUCUGGGGAAUCACCAUGCCUGCCCUCGAGCUGUACUACAGAGCAAUAGUGGUAAAAACCGCAUGGUAUUGGUACAGCGACAGGCAGGUAAAUCAAUGCAAUUGAAUUGAAGACCCAGAAAUAAACCCACACACCUAUGUUCACUUGAUCUUUGACAAAGAAGCCAAAACCAUACUGUGGAAAAAAGAGAAUUUUCAACAAAUGGUGCUUGUUCAACUGGCAUCGGUCAGCAUGCAGAUGAAUGCAAAUCAAUCCAUUCUUAUCUCCCUGUACAAAGCUCAAGUCUAAGUGAACCAAAGAACUCCACAUAAAACCAGAUACACCGAAACCAGUAGAAGAGAAAGUGGUGAAGAGCCUCGAAGAUUUGGGCACAGGGGAAAAUCUCCUAAACAGAACACCAAUGGCUUAUGCUCUAAGAUCAAGAAUUGACAAAUGGGACUGCAUAAAAUUGCAAAGCUUCUGUAAGGCAAAGGACACUGUCAACAGGACGAAAUGGCAACCAACAGAUUGGGAAAAGAUCUUUACCAAUCCUACAUCUGAUAGAGGGCUAAUAUCCAAAAUAUACAAAGAACUUGAGAAGUUAGACUCCAGAAAACCAAAUAACCCUAUUAAAAAUGGUGUACAGAGCUAAACAGAGAGUUCUCAACUGAAGAGUCUGGAAUGGCUGAGAGGAACUUAAAGAAAUGUUCAACAUACUUAUCAAGGAAAUGCAAGUCAAAAUGACCCUGAGAUUCCACUUGACACCAAUCAAUGAUCAAAAACUCAGAUGACAGAAGAUGCUGGCCAGGAUGUGGAAAAAGAGGAACACUCCUCCAUCUCUAUGCAGUAAAAAGUCUCUUACACUCUC
rnacentral:lncRNA from 1 species